rnacentral:rRNA from 1 species
AGCUCCAAUAGCGUAUAUUUAAGUUGUUGCAGUUAAAAAGCUCGUAGUUGGAUUUCGGGUGUGGGGCGCCGGUCCGCUUCGGUGUGCACUGGCGGCCCAGGCCUUCUUGUCGGGGAUGCGCUCUGGUAUUGAUUUAUCGGACGCAGAGUCGGCGCAGUUACUUUGAAAAAAUUAGAGUGUUCAAAGCAGGCAUUCAUCGUGCCCGAAUACAUGAGCAUGGAAUAAUGGAACAGGACUACGGUCACUGCACUUUUUCCGUUGGUUUCGGAGGACCGAAGUAAUGAUUAAGAGGGACAGUUGGGGGCAUCCGUAUUUCGUAGUCAGAGGUGAAAUUCUUGGAUCUGCGAAAGACGAACGAGUGCGAAAGCAUUUGCCAAGAGUGUUUUCAUUAAUCAAGAAC